CCUACGGGGGGCUGCAGUGGGGAAUUUUGCGCAAUGCUCGCAAGAGUGACGCAGCGACGCCGCGUGAAUGACGAAGGCCUUCGGGUUGUAAAGUUCUUUCGACAGGGAAGAAAAUGCCUAUAUGUAACUGUGUAUGUAUUGACGGUACCUGUAUAAGCAGCCCCGGCUAACUCCGUGCGAGCAGCCGCGGUAAUACGGAGGGGGCGAGCGUUUUUCGGAGUGACUGGGCGUAAAGAGCACGUAGGCGGUGUUGUAAGUCAUUAGUCAAAGACUCGAGCUCAACCUUAGUAAGGCAAGUGAUACUGUAAUACUAGAGUAUGAGAGAGGAUGGCAGAAUUCCUGGUGUAGCGGUGAAAUGCGUAGAGAUCAGGAGGAAUACCGUUAGCGAAGGCGGCAAGCUGG
rnacentral:rRNA from 1 species